AGGCUGCAAUAUGCUCCUUAGGAUAUGGAAACAAAGCGUACAAGGAGUUGUCGUGGUUAACGGGCAUGCUGCUUAGAUCUCGAGUAAUUUCUUUUGUAAUGCCAACAUGUCUUUAGAUCACAGGUCUCGUUACGGCUGAUGCAUUGCCUAGUUCUUCACGUUGCAGGUUGGGUUUUACAGUUAGGCCUGCUAAUUUUAUCGAUCCUGCUGUCUUGCUGAAGAUUUCCUCACCCAUUGGCUUGUAUAUCAGGUCCUGCAGCAGGUUGUAUACAUGUCGGCAAUGCGAUUAGAGAGUGAUUUGCAAACCCGGAGAUGGCUCAAAUAUCGGCUUUGCUUUAUUUCCUCUUGUGCAGCAGGCACAAUACUGAAGAUGACGAUGUAUCGAUUUAAAUGCCGUGAAUUGCUGCUGAUUCAUGUUUCUGUUGUUUCCGUCAUUGCUAUUUUGGUCACAGCUUUGGAGCUUUGGGGAAUCAUAUGGGGGACACCGUUGAAACUCUUUAUUCGAUUUACAAAUGCCUUUAUCUUCGAGUUGCAUUGGCUACCAUUUGGCGUCAUUGUGAUGUCUUCAUUUGCAGCCAACUCAAUGUUGCGGCUUUGCUUGGAACACUACCGUUAGCAAUUCUGGUUUACUAUACCGUUAUGCUAUUUGCUUGGCCACUCUGCGGUUUUGGAAUGUUGCUGUGUUUGUAUGAACAUGCUGUAUUGUAUGAACAUGUGAUAUUAUUAGCUAUUGUGUUAGCAUUUGAAUGAAAUUUUGUCAUGGUAACAAUUA